rnacentral:tRNA from 1 species
GCCCGCCUAGCUCAAUCGGAUAGAGCGUCAGACUCUUACGAGCAGGGGUGAUUGAUGACGUAAUCCCACGUGAUCUGAAGGCUGCGAGUUCGACCCUCGCGGUGGGCU